UAGGUGAACCUGCGGAAGGAUCAUUAAAGUGUUUCGGAGCCUGGUUCGGGCAUCUCAGCUCGAGGUGUCGGUGCCAGCGCCCCCACACGUGUUUACUCAACUUGGUUGCCUUGGCGAGCCUGCCCCUGUGGCUGUCGGGGAUGCCUCACGGUGUCCUGGGCUCGUGCUCGCCAGUGGAACAUUUGAACUCUAAAAUGAAAAUAGUCAGUCUGAGCAUUAUGCAAAUUAAAUAAAACUUUCAACAACGGAUCUCUUGGUUCCGGCAUCGAUGAAGAACGCAGCGAAAUGCGAUAAGUAAUGUGAAUUGCAGAAUUCCGUGAAUCAUCGAAUCUUUGAACGCACAUUGCGCCCUCUGGUAUUCCGGGGGGCAUGCCUGUUCGAGCGUCAUUGCAACCCCUCAAGCACGGCUUGUGUGUUGGGCCAUCGUCCCUUUUUGUGGACGGGCCUGAAAUGCAGUGGCAGCACCGAGUUCUGGUGUCUGAGUGUAUGGGAAUCUCUUAUCGCUCAAAGACCCAAUCGGCGCUGAUGUCAGAUUUUUAUCCAGUUUGACCUCGGAUCAGGUAGGAAAACCCGCUGAACUUAAGCAUAUCAAUAAGCGGAGGAAAAGAAACCAACAGGGAUUGCCUCAGUAACGGCGAGUGAAGCGGCAAAAGCUCAAAUUUGAAAUCUGGCACCGUUAGGUGUCCGAGUUGUAAUUUGGAGAGGAUACUUCGGGUGUGGCUACGGCGUAAGUCCCUUGGAAAAAGGCGUCAUAGAGGGUGAGAAUCCCGUCUUAAGUCGUUUGUCCAUGCCCAUGCGAAGUUCCUUCGACGAGUCGAGUUGUUUGGGAAUGCAGCUCUAAGUGGGUGGUAAAUUUCAUCUAAAGCUAAAUAUUGGCCGGAGACCGAUAGCGAACAAGUAGAGUGAUCGAAAGGUUAAAAGCACCUUGAAAAGGGAGUUAAAUAGCACGUGAAAUUGUUGAAAGGGAAGCGCUUGCAACCAGACUCGGUCAUAGGGGCUCAGCGAGCAUGCGUGCUCGUGUACUCCCCUGUGUUCGGGCCAGCAUCAGUUCUGGCGGUUGGUUAAAGGCCCUUGGAAUGUAUCGUCCUCCGGGACGUCUUAUAGCCAAGGGUGUAAUGCAGCCAGCCGGGACUGAGGAACGCGCUUCGGCACGGAUGCUGGCGUAAUGGUUGUAAGCGGCCCGUCUUGAA
rnacentral:rRNA from 1 species